GACCUGAUGCAGCCAUGCCGCGUGUGUGAAGAAGGCCUUCGGGUUGUAAAGCACUUUCAGUUGUGAGGAAAAGUUAGUAGUUAAUACCUGCUAGCCGUGACGUUAACAACAGAAGAAGCACCGGCUAACUCCGUGCCAGCAGCCGCGGUAAUACGGAGGGUGCGAGCGUUAAUCGGAAUUACUGGGCGUAAAGCGCACGCAGGCGGUUUGUUAAGCUAGAUGUGAAAGCCCCGGGCUCAACCUGGGACGGUCAUUUAGAACUGGCAGACUAGAGUCUUGGAGAGGGGAGUGGAAUUCCAGGUGUAGCGGUGAAAUGCGUAGAUAUCUGGAGGAACAUCAGUGGCGAAGGCGACUCCCUGGCCAAAGACUGACGCUCAUGUGCGAAAGUGUGGGUAGCGAACAGGAUUAGAUACCCUGGUAGUCCACACCGUAAACGCUGUCUACUAGCUGUUUGUGGCUUUAAGCCGUGAGUAGCGAAGCUAACGCGAUAAGUAGACCGCCUGGGGAGUACGGCCGCAAGGUUAAAACUCAAAUG
rnacentral:rRNA from 1 species